GUAUGAAUUCUUUAUAUGUUAUUACAAAUAUGAAAGAGAAGGGAUUUCUUCAUGCAAAUUUGUUUAGGUUAGUUUCAGAGUACAGUCUUAAUCCAAGUAUUAAUGACAGAAGAUUGACAGAAAGGAAGAUGGAAUAUGUACUUUGGUUAGUAGAUAAAAAGGCAUAAUAAUGGAGGGAAGAUGCUGGGUUGGACAUAUGAUAAUUUAUACAUGGGGGUUUUAACCCUUCUAUUGUUGUACUCCUACAUGAAAAAGACCAUUGAUGUAAUCGCAGUUGAUAUGCAGGAAAUUAUUGGUUUUAUUAACUGGAAUGUACAAGGAGGUAAGAUAGGCAAGCUGUAUGUACAAUGAAGUUUUUUUUUUUUUUUUUUUUUUUUUUGCUAUGCUGUGUUGUUGCAAAGAUAAAAAAAAAGAAAAAAGAAGUAGUUUCUAGAAGCAAUUUUACUUGCAGCAGUUUCGGAACACUACCUUAAUCCAAAUGUUAAUGAGUUACAAUGCAGUCGAUUUGUAGUAAGGUAUUUGUUUUGAGAACUGUUGAAGUUUUUUUUUUUUUUUUUUUUGCUGUGUUGUUACAAGUGUUAAAAGAGAAACAGUUUCUCGAAGCAAUUUUACUUACAGCAGUUUCAGAACACUGCCUAAAUCCAAAUGUUAAUGAGUUACAAUGCAGUCGAUCUGUAGUAAGGUAUUCCUUUUGUGAACUGUUGAAUGUAGAAAGAAGGGUGAGAUAUGGCAUAGUCUUGAAUUGCAAGCGGUAUACAAUGAAGGCAGGAUAGAAAAGUUUUGAAUUGAGAUUGAGAUAGCACAGAGGAAAUGUAAUAGAGGAGCUAUUUUGAAGAAAUAUUAUAUGUAGAUUAUUUCCUUCUGUAAAGUUGAGAGUGGAAAUGUUUCUUGCACAGAAAAAGAAAGGUAGAGAGUAUGAAUUCUUUAUAUGUUAUUACAAAUAUGAAAGAGAAGGGAUUUCUUCAUGCAAAUUUGUUUAGGUUGUAACCCUUCUUUUGUUGUACUCCUAUAUAUGAAAAAGACCAUUGAUGUAAUAGCAGUGGAUAUGCAGGAAGUCAUUGGUUUUAUUAACUGGAAUGUACAAGUAGGGAGAUAUGGCUUACUGUAGUUUGAAAUGGCAAGAUGUAUGUAUAAUGAAGGCAAGAGAGAAAAGUGUUGAAUUGAGAUGGAGACAGCACAGAGGAAAUGUAUUUACACUGUAGAAGCAA